rnacentral:lncRNA from 1 species
GAGUUAUCGUGUGAUUCGGUUCUUCUUUCAUGAGUCCCGACUUGAUAGAGGUCAUGGAGAACUCAUCAAACCCUAUCGUUAGUCAUAUGUUAGGCUAGCUUGACUCGAGUUCACUUGUGAAUCUCAUAGAAACUCUCUUCUAAUAUUCACACUUGUUUUGGCUCAAGACUUUUUGAACUCAGUCUCACAAAUUGCACAGGACUUUUUUUUUAAUCA